rnacentral:lncRNA from 1 species
UUUAGUAUAAUGGCAUGUUUAACAUGCAUAACCAUAUUCAAUGUCAGUGUAUGCUUUACAUACUUUUCAUGUAAUGGGAACGAUGUCAUGCUCACAUGGUUCAUACAAUCAUUAUCAAUCAUGGCAUAAAACAUGCAUCUCUCAAUCAGUGUUUCAAAAUCUAACAUGCUGAACAAGUAUUCAAUUCAUGAUUUCAUCACCCAAACAAAACAAUUAAUAAAUAGACUUUCUACUUAAUUAUGUACCUUUCUUGACACCUCACUUAUUUGCAUUUAGGAUAUUCAUUCAAACCAAAAUCAGCAAAAAAUUUUCAUCAUUUAAAUAUAUUUUAUAUAAUUUUCAAGUUAAUUAGUCAUAGAGGAGACCCACACCUAACAAGCGUAAAUACAAAGCACUACUUAAACCUGCAGCUCCU